rnacentral:rRNA from 1 species
CCUACGGGCGGCAGCAGUCGAGAAUCAUUCACAAUGGGGGAAACCCUGAUGGUGCGACGCCGCGUGGGGGAAUGAAGGUCUUCGGAUUGUAAACCCCUGUCAUGUGGGAGCAAAUUAAAAAGAUAGUACCACAAGAGGAAGAGACGGCUAACUCUGUGCCAGCAGCCGCGGUAAUACAGAGGUCUCAAGCGUUGUUCGGAAUCACUGGGGGUAAAGCGUGCGUAGGCUGUUUCGUAAGUCGUGUGUGAAAGGCGCGGGCUCAACCCGCGGACGGCACAUGAUACUGCGAGACUAGAGUGAUGGAGAGGGAACCGGAAUUCUCGGUGUAGCAGUGAAAUGCGUAGAUAUCGAGAGGAACACUCGUGGCGAAGGCGGGUUCCUGGACAUUAACUGACGCUGAGGCACGAAGGCCAGGGGAGCGAAAGGGAUUAGAUACCCCGGUAGUC